rnacentral:rRNA from 1 species
AAAUUGAAGAGUUUGAUCAUGGCUCAGAUUGAACGCUGGCGGCAGGCCUAACACAUGCAAGUCGAGCGGAAACGAGAUAUCAAAGC